UUGACUUCUGCAAAGAGUUUCCCAGGCAACGAGACACCCGGGCUCCGGGCUGUGAGGUCACUGGGCCUCGCAGAAUCCACCUGCAGCCGCACCCGCUCCAGGAAACCGAAUCCCAGUGGCAGAUGACAGCCGCGGGUGGCAAGACAGAGUGCCCAUUCAGCCUCCACUGGAACCAGGCUGGCCGACCUGGCGGCCGCCUCCCCCACCUGGGCC
rnacentral:lncRNA from 1 species